rnacentral:rRNA from 1 species
AUUGAACGCUGGCGGCAGGCCUAACACAUGCAAGUCGAGCGGAUGAAGGGAGCUUGCUCCUGGAUUCAGCGGCGGACGGGUGAGUAAUGCCUAGGAAUCUGCCUGGCAUUGGGGGAUAACGUCCGGAAACGGGCGCUAAUACCGCAUACGUCCUGAUGUAGAAAGGGGUGGAUCUUCGGACCUCACGCUAUCAGAUGAGCCUAGGUCGGAUUAGCUAGUUGGUGGGGUAAAGGCCUACCAAGGCGACGAUCCGUAACUGGUCUGAGAGGAUGAUCAGUCACACUGGAACUGAGACACGGUCCAGACUCCUACGGGAGGCAGCAGUGGGGAAUAUUGGACAAUGGGCGAAAGCCUGAUCCAGCCAUGCCGCGUGUGUGAAGAAGGUCUUCGGAUUGUAAAGCACUUUAAGUUGGGAGGAAGGGCAGUAAGUUAAUACCUUGCUGUUUUGACGUUACCAACAGAAUAAGCACCGGCUAACUUCGUG